rnacentral:ncRNA from 1 species
AUCUUCAGGGCGGGGUGCAAUUCCCCACCGGUGGUAUAGCCCACGAGCCGAAAGGCAUGACCCGGUGUGAUUCCGGGGCCGACAGUAUAGUCUGGAUGGAAGAAGAU